UACAGAGGUCUCUAGCGUUGUUCGGAUUCAUUGGGCGUGAAGGGUGCGUAGGCGGCGGGGUUAGUCAGGUGUGAAAUCUCGGAGCUCAACUCCGAAACUGCACUUGAUACUGCCUUGCUAGAGUACUGGAGAGGAGAUUGGAAUUUACGGUGUAGCAGUGAAAUGCGUAGAUAUCGGAAGGAAGACCAGUGGCGAAGGCGAAUCUCUGGACAGUUACUGACGCUGAGGCGCGAAAGCCAGGGGAGCAAACGGG
rnacentral:rRNA from 1 species